rnacentral:rRNA from 2 species
CCCAGAGGAAAGGACAUCAAACGAGACUCCGCUAGUAGUGGCGAGCGAACGCGGACCAGGCCAGUGGCAAUAGGGAAUAAAGUGGAAGAACCUGGAAAGGUUUGCCGAAGUGGGUGAUAGCCCCGUACACGUAGAACACCUGUUGUCCUUGAGUAGGGCGGGACACGUGAAAUCCUGUCUGAACAUGGGUCGACCACGAUCCAAGCCUAAGUACUCGUGCAUGACCGAUAGCGAACCAGUACCGUGAGGGAAAGGUGAAAAGCACCCCGACGAGGGGAGUGAAACAGUACCUGAAACCGGAUGCCUACAAACAGUUGGAGCCCAAGGUUCGUCCUGGGUGACAGCGUACCUUUUGUAUAAUGGGUCAGCGACUUAGUGUAUCGAGCAAGCUUAAGCCGGUAGGUGUAGGCGCAGCGAAAGCGAGUCUGAACAGGGCGUUCAGUUCGAUGCAUUAGACCCGAAACCAAGUGAUCUAGCCAUGAGCAGGUUGAAGGUACGGUAACACGUACUGGAGGACCGAACCCAUAUCUGUUGCAAUAGAUCGGGAUGACUUGUGGCUAGGGGUGAAAGGCCAAUCAAACUUGGAGAUAGCUGGUUCUCCGCGAAAUCUAUUUAGGUAGAGCGUCCAGCGAAUACCCCCGGGGGUAGAGCACUGAAUGGGCUAUGGGGACUCACCGUCUUACUGAUCCUAAUCAAACUCCGAAUACCGGGGAGUACUACUGGGCAGACACACGGCGGGUGCUAACGUCCGUCGUGGAGAGGGCAACAACCCUGACCACCAUCUAAGGUCCCUAAGUUAUGGCUAAGUGGGAAAGGAUGUGAGGAUCCCAAAACAACCAGGAUGUUGGCUUAGAAGCAGCCAUCAUUUAAAGAAAGCGUAACAGCUCACUGGUCUAAAUAAGGGUCUUUGCGCCGAAAAUGUACCGGGGCUAAAGCCAUACACCGAAGCUGUGGAUGCACAUUUGUGCGUGGUAGCGGAGCGUUCCGUAAGCCUGUGAAGGGACAGUCGUGAGACAUCCUGGAGGUAUCGGAAGUGAGAAUGCUGACAUGAGUAACGAUAAAGGGAGUGAGAGACUCCCUCGCCGAAAGUCCAAGGGUUCCUGCUUAAAGUUAAUCUGAGCAGGGUUAGCCGGCCCCUAAGGCGAGGCCGAAAGGCGUAGUCGAUGGGAACCACGUUAAUAUUCGUGGGCCUGCAGGUAGUGACGGAUCGCGUGUGUUGUAAGGUCUUAUUGGAUUGAUCUUGCAGCGAAGCGGUUCCAGGAAAUAGCUCCUGCAUAUAGACCGUACCCUAAACCGACACUGGUGGACUGGUAGAGAAUACCAAGGCGCUUGAGAGAACUGCGUUGAAGGAACUCGGCAAAAUGCACGCGUAACUUCGGAAGAAGCGUGACCUCCAUUUAGGCAACUAGGUGGGGGUGGCACAGACCAGGGGGUAGCGACUGUUUACCAAAAACACAGGGCUCUGCGAAGUCGCAAGACGACGUAUAGGGUCUGACGCCUGCCCGGUGCUGGAAGGUUAAGAGGAGAUGUGCAAGCAUUGAAUUGAAGCCCCAGUAAACGGCGGCCGUAACUAUAACGGUCCUAAGGUAGCGAAAUUCCUUGUCGGGUAAGUUCCGACCUGCACGAAUGGCGUAACGACUUCCCCGCUGUCUCCAACGCAGACUCAGUGAAAUUGAAUUCCCCGUGAAGAUGCGGGGUUCCUGCGGUUAGACGGAAAGACCCCGUGCACCUUUACUAUAGCUUUACACUGGCAUUCGUGUCGGCAUGUGUAGGAUAGGUGGUAGACUUUGAAGCAGUGGCGCCAGCCAUUGUGGAGUCAUCCUUGAAAUACCACCCUUGCCUAUAUGGAUGUCUAACUGCGGCCCGUUAUCCGGGUCCAGGACCGUGUAU